CCUACGGGCUGCAGCAGUGGGGAAUAUUGGACAAUGGGCGAAAGCCUGAUCCAGCCAUGCCGCGUGUGUGAAGAAGGCCUUCGGGUUGUAAAGCACUUUCAGUGGGGAAGAAAGCCUUGGGGCUAAUACCCUCGAGGAAGGACAUCACCCACAGAAGAAGCACCGGCUAACUCCGUGCCAGCAGCCGCGGUAAUACGGAGGGUGCGAGCGUUAAUCGGAAUUACUGGGCGUAAAGCGCGCGUAGGCGGUCUGAUAAGCCGGUUGUGAAAGCCCCGGGCUCAACCUGGGAACGGCAUCCGGAACUGUCAGGCUAGAGUGCAGGAGAGGAAGGUAGAAUUCCCGGUGUAGCGGUGAAAUGCGUAGAGAUCGGGAGGAAUACCAGUGGCGAAGGCGGCCUUCUGGACUGACACUGACGCUGAGGUGCGAAAGCGUGGGUAGCAAACAGGAUUAGAUACCCAGUAGUC
rnacentral:rRNA from 1 species